UCGAUUUCGAAAGAUGCACUGCCCUCGCGCGUGAAUGUCCAUAAUGUGACCCUCAAGGAUAUAAAUUCGUGUUGUGCAACGGCGAUGUCAGUUUGCAGUGUGGAGGUGAAGGGAGAGCGCUUCGUCAUGGUUAAGAAGGCUCAGGCCGCUGUUGCUGUGCUUGUGGAACAGUUGCGCUUUUCAUGCAAAAGAUAAUUAGUGACGCAUUGUGACGUUUGGGUUAGAAAAUUCACUGAGAUCUGUGUAAAUAAAUAUGCAAAUUACAACGUGAAGACAUCGCGCAAAUAUGUUAAUGGAACG